rnacentral:rRNA from 1 species
GAGUGAUGAAGGCCUUCGGGUUGUAAAGCUCUUUCGCGGGGACGAAAAGGUCCGUGUCAACACCACGGACUCAUGACGUACCCGCAGAAGAAGCACGGCUAACUACGUGCCAGCAGCCGCGGUAAUACGUAGGGUGCAGGCGUUAAUCGGAAUUACUGGGCGUAAAGCGUGCGCAGGCGGUCUAUUAAGACAGGUGUGAAAUCCCCGGGCUUAACCUGGGAACUGCGCUUGUAACUGAUAGGCUGGAGUGUGGCAGAGGGGGGUGGAAUUCCAGGUGUAGCAGUGAAAUGCGUAGAUAUCUGGAGGAACACCGAUGGCGAAGGCAGCCCCCUGGGCUAACACUGACGCUCAUGCACGAAAGCGUGGGGAGCAAACAGGAUUGGAUACCCUGGUAGUCCACGCCCUAAACUAUGUCAACUGGUUGUCGGGGAAGCAAUUCCUUGGUAACGAAGCUAACGCGUGAAGUUGACCGCCUGGGGAGUACGGCCGCAAGGUUAAAACUCAAAGGAAUUGACGGGGACCCGCACAAGCGGUGGAUUAUGUGGUUCAAUUCGAAGCAACGCGCAGAACCUUACCGACCCUUGACAUGUCCAGUAUGGGCUUCAGAGAUGAGGCUCUCCAGUUCGGCUGGCUGGAACACAGGUGCUGCAUGGCUGUCGUCAGCUCGUGUCGUGAGAUGUUGGGUUAAGUCCCGCAACGAGCGCAACCCUCGCCCUUAGUUGCCAUCAUUAAGUUGGGCACUCUAAGGGGACUGCCGGUGAUAAGCCGCGAGGAAGGUGGGGAUGACGUCAAGUCCUCAUGGCCCUUAUGGGUAGGGCUUCACACGUAAUACAAUGGCCGGUACAGAGGGCAGCCAACCCGCGAGGGGGAGCUAAUCCCAGAAAGCCGGUCGUAGUCCGGAUUGCAGUCUGCAACUCGACUGCAUGAAGCCGGAAUCGCUAGUAAUCGCGGAUCAGCAUGUCGCGGUGAAUACGUUCCCGGG